GAUCAAGCGAAUAAGCGCAUAUGGUGGAUGCCUAGGCAGUUGGAGGCGAUGAAGGACGUUGUAGUCUGCGAAAUGCUCGGGGGAGCUGACAAACAAGCGUUAUAUCCCGAGAUGUCCGAAUGGGGAAACCCGGCCCUUAUGGGGUCAUCUAUAUCUGAAUACAUAGGGUAUAGAAGCGAACCCGGAGAACUGAACCAUCUAAGUACCCGGAGGAAAAGAAAUCAACCGAGAUUCCCUUAGUAGCGGCGAGCGAAAGGGGACCAGCCAGCAAUCUUUAUUCUGAAUGUUAGGGGAACGUGCCUGGAAAGGCCGGCAGUAUAAGGUGAUAGCCCUGUACCCGAAAACAAUCAGGAAGAACUAGGUUUGCGAAAAGUAGGUCGGAGCACGUGUAAUUCUGACUGAACAUGGGGGGACCAUCCUCCAAGGCUAAAUACUCCCAACUGACCGAUAGUGAACUAGUACCGUGAGGGAAAGGCGAAAAGAACCCCGGAGAGGGGAGUGAAAUAGAUCCUGAAACCGUAUGCGUACAAGCAGUAGGAGCAGACUUGUUCUGUGACUGCGUACCUUUUGUAUAAUGGGUCAGCGACUUACUUUCUGUAGCAAGCUUAACCGUUUAGGGGAGGCGUAGGGAAACCGAGUCUUAAUAGGGCGAUUAGUUGCAGGGAGUAGACCCGAAACCAGGCGAUCUAUCCAUGGCCAGGGUGAAGGUUGAGUAACAUCAACUGGAGGCCCGAACCCACGUAUGUUGAAAAAUGCGGGGAUGAGCUGUGGAUAGGAGUGAAAGGCUAAUCAAGCCUGGAGAUAGCUGGUUCUCCGCGAAAACUAUUUAGGUAGUGCGUCAUGUAUCACCACUGGGGGUAGAGCACUGUUUCGGCUAGGGGGUCAUCCCGACUUACCAACCCGAUGCAAACUCCGAAUACCAGUGAGUGCGAGCAUGGCAGACAGACGGCGGGUGCUAACGUCCGUCGUCAAGAGGGAAACAACCCAGACCGCCAGCUAAGGUCCCCAAAUCACAGUUAAGUGGGAAACGAUGUGGGAAGGCACAGACAGCUAGGAGGUUGGCUUAGAAGCAGCCACCCUUUAAAGAAAGCGUAAUAGCUCACUAGUCGAGUCGGCCCGCGCGGAAGAUGUAACGGGGGCUCAAACUGUGUACCGAAGCUGCGGAUAUGAUUGCUCUCAUGGGCUUUCAUAUGGUAGCGGAGCGUUCUGUAAGCCUGUGAAGGUGUAUCGUAAGGUAUGCUGGAGGUAUCAGAAGUGCGAAUGCUGACAUGAGUAACGAUAAGGGGGGUGAAAAACCCCCCCGCCGGAAGACCAAGGUUUCCUGCGCAACGCUAAUCGGCGCAGGGUAAGUCGGCCCCUAAGGCGAGGGCGAAAGCCGUAGUCGAUGGGAAGCAGGUUAAUAUUCCUGCACUUAUAUUUAUUGCGAUGGAGGGACGGAGAAGGCUAGGCUAGCGCGGCGAUGGUUGUCCGCGUUUAAGCGUGUAGGCUGGGGGAUUAGGCAAAUCCGGUCCCCCUUAAGGCUGAGGCGUGAUGACGAACGAGAUCUUUGGAUCUCGGAAGUAGUUGAUGCCAUGCUUCCAGGAAAAGCUUCUAAGCUUCAGAUAAAUGUGAACCGUACCCCAAACCGACACAGGUGGUCAGGUAGAGAAUACCAAGGCGCUUGAGAGAACUCGGGUGAAGGAACUAGGCAAAAUGGUACCGUAACUUCGGGAGAAGGUACGCCCCUUUUGGUGAUCGGACUUGCUCCGUAAGCUGAAGGGGGUCGAAGAUACUAGGUGGCUGCGACUGUUUACUAAAAACACAGCACUCUGCAAACACGUAAGUGGACGUAUAGGGUGUGACGCCUGCCCGGUGCCGGAAGGUUAAUUGAUGGGGUUAUCUUCGGAGAAGCUCUUGAUCGAAGCCCCGGUAAACGGCGGCCGUAACUAUAACGGUCCUAAGGUAGCGAAAUUCCUUGUCGGGUAAGUUCCGACCUGCACGAAUGGCGUAACGAUGGCCACACUGUCUCCACCCGAGACUCAGUGAAAUUGAAUUUGCGGUUAAGAUGCCGUAUACCCGCGGCUAGACGGAAAGACCCCGUGCACCUUUACUAUAGCUUUACACUGGACUUUGAUUUUACUUGUGUAGGAUAGGUGGGAGACUUUGAAGCAAUCACGCUAGUGGUUGUGGAGUCGCCCUUGAAAUACCACCCUGGUAACGUCGAGGUUCUAACUUAGGUCCGUGAUCCGGAUUGAGGACAGUGUAUGGUGGGUAGUUUGACUGGGGCGGUCUCCUCCCAAAGAGUAACGGAGGAGCGCGAAGGUACCCUCAGCAUGGUCGGAAAUCAUGCAAUGAGUGCAAUGGCAUAAGGGUGCUUGACUGCGAGACGGACAGGUCGAGCAGGUACGAAAGUAGGUCAUAGUGAUCCGGUGGUUCUGUAUGGAAGGGCCAUCGCUCAACGGAUAAAAGGUACGCCGGGGAUAACAGGCUGAUACCGCCCAAGAGUUCACAUCGACGGCGGUGUUUGGCACCUCGAUGUCGGCUCAUCACAUCCUGGGGCUGAAGCCAGUCCCAAGGGUAUGGCUGUUCGCCAUUUAAAGUGGUACGCGAGCUGGGUUUAGAACGUCGUGAGACAGUUCGGUCCCUAUCUGCCGUGGGCGUUUGAGAUUUGAGAGGAGCUGCUCCUAGUACGAGAGGACCGGAGUGGACGAACCUCUGGUGUUCCGGUUGUGAUGCCAAUUGCAUUGCCGGGUAGCUAUGUUCGGACAGGAUAACCGCUGAAAGCAUCUAAGCGGGAAGCCCCCCUCAAGAUUAGAUCUCACUGGGAACUUGAUUCCCCUAAAGGACCCUCGAAGACUACGAGGUUGAUAGGCUGGGUGUGUAAGCGCUGCGAGGCGUUGAGCUAACCAGUACUAAUUGUCCGUGAGGCUUGAUCAU
rnacentral:rRNA from 1 species